CAAGCGUUGUUCGGAUUCAUUGGGCGUAAAGGGUGCGUAGGCGGCGCGGUAAGUCGGGGGUGAAAUCUCGGAGCUUAACUCCGAAACUGCAUUCGAUACUGCCGUGCUUGAGGACUGGAGAGGAGACUGGAAUUUACGGUGUAGCAGUGAAAUGCGUAGAGAUCGUAAGGAAGACCAGUGGCGAAGGCGGGUCUCUGGACAGUUCCUGACACUGAGGCACGAAGGCCAGGGGAGCAAACGGG
rnacentral:rRNA from 1 species